GGGCGGUUAGCUCAGUGGUUAGAGCGCUUGCUUCACACGCAAGAGGUCACUGGUUCAAGUCCAGUACUGCCCA
rnacentral:tRNA from 3 species